AACGAACGCUGGCGGCAGGCUUAACACAUGCAAGUCGAACGGGUGUAGCAAUACAUCAGUGGCAGACGGGUGAGUAACACGUGGGAACCUUCCUAGGGGGUACGGAACAACUCAGGGAAACUUGAGCUAAUACCGUAUACGUCCGUGAGGAGAAAGAUUUAUCGCCCUUAGACGGGCCCGCGUCGGAUUAGCUAGUUGGUGGGGUAACGGCCUACCAAGGCGACGAUCCGUAGCUGAUCUUAGAGGAUGAUCAGCCACACUGGGACUGAGACACGGCCCAGACUCCUACGGGAGGCAGCAGUGGGGAAUCUUGGAUAAUGGGCGCAAGCCUGAUCCAGCCAUGCCGCGUGAGUGAAGAAGGUCUUCGGAUUGUAAAGCUCUUUUGCCAGGGACGAUAAUGACGGUACCUGGAGAAUAAGCCCCGGCAAACUUCGUGCCAGCAGCCGCGGUAAU
rnacentral:rRNA from 1 species